AAUCAGUGAAGCCGUAUCACUUUAAUAACGGGGCGGAAUCUGAAAAGCCCAAUGAGUAAGAAAACA
rfam:Oryza sativa Indica Group cultivar 93-11 Ctg043791, whole genome shotgun sequence.